GACGAACGCUGGCGGCGUGCUUAACACAUGCAAGUCGAACGGAAAGGCCCUGCUUUUGUGGGGUGCUCGAGUGGCGAACGGGUGAGUAACACGUGAGUAACCUGCCCUUGACUUUGGGAUAACUUCAGGAAACUGGGGCUAAUACCGGAUAGGAGCUCCUGCUGCAUGGUGGGGGUUGGAAAGUUUCGGCGGUUGGGGAUGGACUCGCGGCUUAUCAGCUUGUUGGUGGGGUAGUGGCUUACCAAGGCUUUGACGGGUAGCCGGCCUGAGAGGGUGACCGGCCACAUUGGGACUGAGAUACGGACCAGACUCCUACGGGGGGCAGCAGUGGGGAAUAUUGCCCAAUGGGCGGAAGCCUGAUGCAGCAACGCCGCGUGCGGGAUGACGGCCUUCGGGUUGUAAACCGCUUUCGCCUGUGACGAAGCGUGAGUGACGGUAAUGGGUAAAGAAGCACCGGCUAACUACGUG
rnacentral:rRNA from 1 species